rnacentral:lncRNA from 1 species
CCUCUAGACCCUGCAACCAGCAAACAAUCCCUCCUUAUAGGUCUCUCUCAAGAAAAGACUGACCUUAGGAUACAGCAUUUCCUGAUCGGCUGUAUAAUGAUUUCACCUUUGCUCAUCCUAUUCCCCGACACCAGGUUCUCUCAGGCCUUGGUUAUUCCCUUUCACAAAAGAAAAGCCCUUCUUUACCCAACAUUUAAGAGGCUUGCAGAGUCUCCCUGUUUCAACAGUCAUCUGCUCUGUCUCCCUCCCACUAUUGCAAUAAUCCGUUCCUUCCCUCUUGCGAUAAAAUCUCUCUUUACAUAAAUUGAAUUGUUUUUCAUUUGACGAGAGAAAAGUGAAAACUAAAAAGGGAAGUCACGUGGGAACACAAAGCAAUUACUGAAGAUAUUAAGCUUCCUCAUUUUCUCUUGGCACCACCAUGUAAGAAGUUUCUUUCACCUGCUGCCGUGAUGCUGAGGCCUCCCCAGCCACGAGGAACUACUCUUUUUGCCAUUGCAAACUGAAGACAAGAAUCACUUCCUGAUCACUGGGUUGUUGUAAGAUUUGUCUUCCCUGCAAAAUGCCUUGGGAACAGUCUUCAUGUUAUCAUUUGCAAAAUGCUGACUCACAGGAGAUAUUGAAUAUGUGUUUGUUGACUGGCUACGAAAUGGAAAUGUAUUGUUUUCUCUAUUAUGAAGAGAAAGUGAGGCAGAGCAAGCAGUUGGAGGAGAACGAUAUUUAACUGAGAAAGAAAUAUGUCCACAAGGAAGUGAUCAACAAUCCUACAUGCUGCAAAGUGAUUAAGGAGAAUAAAGAUCAAGAGGAUGUAGAAGCCUGAUUAUAACUGGAAAGAAAGUUAAUACAUCCUGAGGACAGCAGUAGGUGUAAACAACAAAUUCAUACAUUUUGUAGAAAAUAGAGGUGAAAAACUGGUUACAGAAACUCAGUGCACAGCAAGGGCAAAUAAGCUUGUUUGCAAGCUAGAAGUCUUCUGUUGAUGCCAAAGAAAGAAAAUAGUAUAUUAUGUAGCAGGAAUGGACAGAGAAAGAACCUGUGAAAUUUAUUUUUAUGGAAAUUCACUUAAGUGUUUUUGUACUUUUAUUGUAUAUUCUAAGCAAAAUAAUAUUUUCCUAAUUGACUCAAUAAUUUUAUAAAAAUUGGCAUCAUAUAUGGCUAAAGAACAAUUAAAAUGCAUUCAUAAAU